GGCUGCUGCAAGCUCUCGUCCCCAGUCACAUCCAUUCACGCAGCCCGACUGCCUCCAGGGGCCUUAGAGGGCAGCUCUCAGCACCACUUCCGGCCACUGCAAAAGCUGCCUGUCCUCCCGGCUCCCGCUUGGCAAUCCUGUCCACGUCUUGUGGCUUCAACACUCAACUGCAUGGACACGAACCACCUUCUCCUGACGGACCCCAGAGCCUGCUGACAACCUGAGCCCCCAAGCCCCUCAUCCACAGCACCCCAGAAGGCCUGGCCUCCCUCAACCUGUCUUCACUGUCUCUGAGGGACGGACCCUCCUCCAGGUGGCUUGUACUGGCAGCAGGGACAACUCGACCCUCAGAUGACGUCACUUUCUCUAUUGUGUGUGUCCCUUCCUUUCUAUACCAACACCAGAACCCAGGGCCUCAUCCUGAACCUCUAUCCCAGGGCAGCUGCCCCCGAGCCUCCUGCUCCCAGACCUAAAGGCUAGUGAUGGACCCCUGGCAGGAGCCCCACUGUGGGCCCCAGUAACAGUGAUGGAGGCCCGCCUGGCUCUGCGGUCCUGGGGGACAGCAGCCUGCUG